GUCCCACCCCGACGGGGCACCCUGGUAAAGGAAGACAGUGACAGGGUAACAUACAACAAUCUUCUGUGUCUGAAUUCACCAGUUACAUAAUUACCUCUUAUUCAGGUAUGGUCCAGGAGAUGUGCCAGCAAUAACAGAGUCAUUCUGAAUGUUUCGAUUUGUGUAGUGGGCAUAGAGUGAUUUGAACUUUCUGCUGGUAUAUCUCAGAGGAUCUCAGAAUAUGCAAGUAUUCAUUAAGACAGAGGGGAGAACUGAACCUGGUCUUCCACAUCCCAGAGUUACUAUAGCAACUCCUCCAGAUGUGUUCUUCUGUUGUUUGGUGGAAGUGAACUGGAAACUUGGAAGACAGCUGAAGUCGGAGAAGGCUGGAUGUUGCCGUCCGCACAGAGCAUGAUCUCUAAAGAAGAGGCAUUGUCCUCUAAGGCUCCCGUUGGAGUGGAAACGCCUUGCGAGGUGCUCGCCUGCCCGAGGGAAGGGAUGCUUUGCAGCUGCUUUGGCCCACCGUGCGGUAGGUUCUAGCCAGUAAGAACCUCUGUCCAGCUGGAGAGGGUGUGACGCUGGGGAGCGAAAGCCAUGUGCACACCCAUCUUCCCACUGCCUCUUAAACACAUUCAUUCAGAGGAGUCUUGCUCAAGCCAGUGAGAGGUCCUGUAGUAUCUCAGCUGUCUCUUUAUAACACUGAAAAUCUACAAAACGCUGACCAUAAUUAAUACAAAGCUAAUAACAUAAAACCCCACCACCUCAGACAACAGUUGGCAAGUGAAAGAAAAAUGAAAAACCAACAGCUCCUUUAUCAGACCCUCACGACCGCAGUGAUAUUCGUCGGCUGUCAGAUAACCAAGCAAUACCCGUAGGCUUCCACACUAUGUCCUGCAGACCAGGCCCUCCAUAAAUACUUGGGGGAUGGAGAAAAGAUGGGCCUGUCAGUAUGUGCAGGAGAAGAUCAAAUCUGGGCUCUGUCUGGCGAAGUGGAGAGUGCGCUCCACAGUCCAGGACCCUUCACAGAAAAUCCCUCCCCAGCAGCCCCCUCAGUGGAGCUCAGAUGCUGCCAAGGAAGCUUCUCUUAAUAAAUUAGUUUACUUGGAGUAAAGCUUAAAGGGUUUGAGGCCUGAUCCAAAGCCCAGUGAAGACAAUGGGAAGACUCCGAUUGACUUGAGGGACUUUGGAGCCAGACCCCUGUUGCUUGGUUUUAAAAUUUGUGAUACAGCAGGGCCAGAGGGCAGCAGGAGAGUGAUUUUUUCUUUACGUGUUAAAAUAAAUUAUUUUUUAUGAGGGAAAUUCACCAAAAUUCACUAAAGCCAGUGGUUCCCAUUAAAAACAACAAAAGCAGCACACUUCUGUCUGAAUUCUAUUUACCUGCUGUUGUUAAAGUCACCCCUUGCCCCAUAACAAAGAUCACAGGGGAGAUAUUUCUAUUUUAGAUUUCACUUGCUGGCUUUAACACGGACUGUGCAAUCAAGCCAGCUUCUCUUGCCCUGUGGGUAGUUAAUACGGUGCAGUAAAUCAUUCGUUAAUCACCCUGUUGACACAGUAGGUACCUGGGUGGCUGUCGAGGGUACACACAUCUGCAGACUCCCCAGGGUUGCGUGUUGAGGGGAGAAGUCCCCUGGCUUAGUCUUGGCUACAAACCUCUACAGGCAGGUCCCUUUGAGCAUGAUGGAGCGAAAGCAUCAACCAGAUCAACUGAAAACAUUCAGCUCUGCUCCAGCCUGGAGAGGGAGGAAGGCUGGUUUCCAAUCCCACGGCUCCACCGGCAUCUCUAGCCUGGGCCUGGUUCUACGCAGGAGCUGGCAGCACAGGC